rnacentral:rRNA from 1 species
AGCGAACGCUGGCGGCAGGUCCAACACAUGCAAGUCGAGCGGCCGUAGCAAUACGGCAGCGGCAGACGGGAGAGUAACACGUGGGAACGCGCCCUUCGGUCUGGAAUAACCCAGGGACACUUGGGCUAAUACCGGAUACGCCCUUACGGGGAAAGAUUUAUUGCCGAAGGAACGGCCCGCGUCCGAUUAGCUAGUUGGUGAAGUAACGGCUCACCAAGGCGACGAUCGGUAGCUGGUCUGAGAGGAUGACCAGCCUCACUGGGACUGAGACACGGCCCAGACUCCUACGGGAGACAGCAGUGGGGAAUAUUGGACAAUGGGCGCAAGCCUGAUCCAGCCAUGCCGCGUGGGUGAUGAAGGCCCUAGGGUUGUAAAGCCCUUUCAGCGGGGAAGAUAAUGACGGUACCCGCAGAAGAAGCCCCGGCUAACUUCGUGCCAGCCGCCGCGGUAACAC